rnacentral:lncRNA from 1 species
UGUACAGCCCUCAGGUGGCUGAAAAAGAACAAAAUCUGGAAGUCUUGAGACGUGAGAAGACCUAACCCUAAAGUUUAUUCCCAACCAUCAGGAAGCUCCAACCAUCCCAAAUCACUCACCCACCUGAGGAUAUUGACAAUGGCUAAAUUCCAUUUGUACUCAUCUGGCUACCCCAGACAAACUUAAUAGGUGCAGCAGGAGCUUCAGGGAGCUGUAAGCAGUGACCCCUCUGACACCAAGAAUCUUCCUAUCUGGCCAGGAAUGGUGGCAUAUGCCUGUGAUCCCAGCACUUGAGAGGCUGAGGCAGAAGGAUCAUUAAUUCAAGACCAGCCUCAGCCCGUGCUUCUCCUCUCCACCUUGUGCAUCGCUCGGGGAAGAUGGUGCUGAGAAAUAGAGACACAGAC